rnacentral:lncRNA from 1 species
CAACAUCAUGCUUCCUUUUGUGGUUUUGGAACUUGAGAGUUGGAAUCUUGCUAUGUUGCCCAGGCUAGUCUUGAUCUCCUUGCUUCAACUGAUCCUCCUGGCUUGGUCUCCCAAAGUGCUGGGAUUACAGGCAUGAACCACCACACCUGAUCAUCUUUUCGUGAGCAUUUUUUAUAUCGAUGGUUCUCUGCUGGGAUGACUUUGCCUCCAAGCCCCUGCUGGCGGGGCUCUCAGACUGCAGCCCCUGUGAAUACUCACAUGCCCAGCAAUUGUCCCUUAGGUGCAGAUGCCAUGUGAGCCCCAGCCCUUGCCUGUGGACGUCCAUGUCGUGCUGUUAACCCUGGUCAUCCACAGUCUGAACCCUCCUCUGGUCCCUUCCUGAUACAGGAAGUGCACUGGGCUCUUAGCCACAACUGCAGAAAGUGGGGCUGGGGUUCAUUGCUUGUUUCUGGGGUCACUGCCACUGUCAGUAUCAUCCCCCUACCCUGCAACAGCUCAGCCUGCUUGGGUCUAGGAGCUGCAGCGCUUUCUAUCCCUUCCUCAAGACAGUGAGUGCCCACCUAGGCCACACUACCCAGGAGCCAGUGCUGCCGCCACCUCGACCCACCGUGCCCACCUCCUGGAAGAGGGCUGGCGGCAUCUUGGACUAAAGGUCACGUUGGCUUCCUGGGAAUGCUGGCACACCUGUGGGCUGCCAAGGCCACUCCCAAGGGGCUGUGAGUUUUGACUGUGCUGGCACACACACCCCUCACGUGCACACAGUGGGUGCCCCAGAAAACAUGACAGUGGCACUCCUGUCACUACCCAGACCCCAGGGCAGGGUGCACAAAGCCUUGAUUUAGAGAUGCCACCUGGAAAGCCACAGCCCCAAUCCAUUCCUGUCAAUCCAAACCUAUUGGAAAUAAGACAUGGGACUCAGCACUUAGCAGCAUCCUCAUCAGACCUUCUGGUAAAUGGAAGGAUUUUUCUUUAACACAUGGGUUUUCUGAUGUCAUUUUGCUUACAGUGGACUGAUCAGGGCCACUGAAGGAUGAGAGAGAGAAUACAUGGCAGGAACAACGAUUUCAACUCCAAGGAGAGCAGCCCUCUGGUCUCAGCGGAGAGCAGGGGACAUGUCCCCCCAGGACGGGCUCCUGCUUGCUCCCGAGGGGCGCCUUGGCAGGGCGGACAUUGGAAGCUGAAUGCGGAGGAAGCAUCCGGAAGCGGCGCUCUUGGCCUCAGCCCUCCUGUCCUGGGAUGGAGUUUUGCCAUAUUGCGCAGGCUGGUCUCAAACUCCUGGACUCAAGCGAUCCUCCUGCUUCAGCUUCCCAAAGUGCUGGGAUUACAGACGUGAGCCAUGGUGCACGGCCUGCAGCUGUCUUUAGGUCUAAUCAAAUGUUCCUGAAAUUUGACUUUACAAAGAUCUGCUAAUUCAGAAGAAAGCGCUUUACUCCCAGAACUGUGAAGCCCUGCAAUGGACAGACCCAGGUUACUCUACUCAACUGUGGCUUUUCCAGGAACCGCAUCCAUGGGAAAUCCCAACUUCAUCCCACUUUAGGGAGAGCCACACAUUUGUACAUUCUGCAUUUUACUUUUUGUAUUUUUGAAAGAAGGAGCAAAUACGGUCACAUAAAGUAACAAAACAACGAUUGUUAGAAGGGCUUUGCAUGAAUCCCUUAUUGUUCUGCUCUGCAACCUGACUUGGCCUCUAUUCCUGGAUGGCCACACCCAGAUUUGUUCCCUCUUCGUCAAGCCAAGCCCAGGGGCUCUUGUAUAUCCCUGUCAGCCUCCCAGGAUCCGGCACUGGCAGGCGCUUAGCACGUAUCUGUCACAGGUGGUUUAAUUAUCUGUUUGGACCUUCUCAAGUUACAAUUCUAAGGAGUCCCAAGGAAGUAAAGUGAUUUUAAAAACACAGAAAACAGUUUUCAGAAUUUCUGCAGCCAGCCAUGAAGGAGUAGCUAGGAUGGAACUUAUGCUGUCUGUUUCUGUUUUUGUUUUUUGCCAAAAGAACUAGAAAGCUGGACAAAGCAGACAAAACAACUGGCUUUGGACAUCAGGACAAAAGGCUGUGCAGGGCUGGCAUCCCUAAGAGAUAGGAAAAAAAUGAAGUAAGUUGUGCAAUCAACUCUGUUUUCUGGCUGGAGGCAGUUUUCAUACUGUCAGGCAGGGAGGGGGAAUCCAAGCACAACAUGGUGAUCUAGCUGAAUUGAGAAGAGUGGGCUAUGGGGAGGCAGAGGUGAGACAGGGUAGCAGAGAGGAGGAAGAUACUCAAAUAAAGAAACUCAAAUACCUGCAUAAGGUCCCUUUGAGCAUUCACUUAAUACCAAUCUGUACAUGCGUAGGUGGAAUUCCAGGAAGUGAAUAAAGAACAGUGAGGUGUUAAGCUGAACAAUUCCUAGAACUCACACCAGGCUGCAAGAAAUUUGAACUCCUUCUAUUCAGUUGGAGACCUCAUAGAGCACUUGGGGCAAUCAAUAGACAAUACACGGCUCACGCCUGUAAUCCCAGCACUUUGGGAGGCUGAGAUGGGCGGAUCACCCGAUGUCAGGAGUUCGAGACCAGCGUGACCAACAUGGAGAAACACCGUCUCUACUAAAGAUACAAAAAAUUAGCUGGGCGUAGUGGCGCAUGCCUGUAAUCCCAGCUCCUCGGGAGACUGAGGCAGCAGAAUCACUUGAACCUGGGAAGCGGAGGUUGCAGUGAGGUGAGAUCGCGCCACUGCACUCCAGCCUGGGCAACAAGAGUGAAACUCCGUCUCAAAAAAAAAAAGAAAAAAAAAUAGAGAAUACAAAGGAUCAAGCUUUAGUAGUAGGAAUAAAUUAACUCUAGAGUAUAGGCAACUCUAGAUAACCCCAAAAAAAUGUAAAAGCAAGCCUCAAAAAGAUCAACCUCAUCUGCAAGUAACUUUAUUACUUGCCAGAACAAAUGUCAACACUAUUUAUAAAGGAAAAAAAAAUCUAUACGUUUAUCAAUGUUAUAUUCAAAAUGCCUGUCACCCAAUAAAAUAUGGUGAGAUAUGUGAAGCAAAGAUUGUGAUCCAUAACUAGGAGAAAAUAUCAGUCCAUCAAAUCAGGCCCAGGAAUGAUGGGAAUGAUAGAAUUAGUAGAUAAAAGAAUUUUAAAUGGCUAUUAUAAAUAUGCUCAAGCAUGUAACAGAAAACAUGAAUGCAAACGGAAGAGAAAAGGAAGGUAUUGAAAAAAAAAUGGGAUGUCUAGAAAUGAAAAAUAAUUUUUCAACUGAAAAGUUCACUAGAGGGGAUCAACAGCAGAUUAAAAACUGCAGAAAAAAAGAUCAGUAAGCUUGAAGACAGGGCAAUAAAACCUGUCAAAACAGAAGUAUAUAGAGGAAAAAGACUGGAAAAAAUGAACAGAGCCUCAGGAAUGUUGUCUAACAUGCUUGUAAUUGGAAUUCAAGAACAAAAGAAGGGUGAGAGAGAGUAGCGAGAAAAUGCAUUAGGAAAAAUAAUGGCCCCCAAAGUUGUCAAAUUUGAUAAAAAGUGUAAACCCACAGGUCCAAAAAGUAAAACAAAUCUCAAACAGCGUAAACACUAAUAAAAGUAUAUCAAGGUAUAUCAUAAUCAAGUUGCUGAAAACCUAUGAUAAAAAGAAAAUUUUAAGAGUGUCUAGAGGAGGAGAAUCCUUACAUUUUAGGGGAACAACAAUAAGGUGACUGCAAACUUCUCUUUAGAAAAACGCAAGCUGGAAGGCAGUGGAAUGACAUCUUUAAAAUACUCAGAGAAAAAGAAUCUAUUAACCAAAAAUUUUAUAUUUAGCAAACAUAUCUUUCCAAAAUGAAGGUGAAAUACUUUUUCAGAUACACACAAAAAAUUAAUAUUUUUACUAGUGUGCCUAUUCAUCAAUAAAUAUAAAAAGAACUUCUUUUAAGGUAAAAACGGAAUCCUGGAAAACCCAAUCUGAAAUAAGCCAGGAAAGGAAAAAUAAAAGAACAAAGAAGAUGAAUCAAAUAGAAAACAAAUAUCAAGUUGGUAGACUUGAACCCAACUAUGUUAAUAAUUAUAUCAAAUGUAAAUGGUUUAAACAUUCUAAUUAAAAUGCAGAAACUGUCAGGCUAGAUUAAAAAAGCAAGACCCAAUUAUAUGCUAACUACAGGAAAUUAGCUUUAAAUACAAAGACAGAGAAAUAAAAGUGGAAGGAGGAAAAUGAUACACCAUGCAAACAGUAAUCACAAGAGAGCUGGAGUGGCUAACACAGUAGACUGUAGGAAAGGAAUAAUAUUACCAGAGAUAAAGAGGGACAUUUCAUGAUGAUGAAAAAGCAAAUUAAUUCACCAAGAAGAAAUAACAACCCUCAAUUUGUAUAUUCCCAAUAAUAAACCUUCAAAAUACACAAAGAAAAUAAUAAUAGAACUGAAAAGAGAAAUAGAAAUCUAUACUUAGAGAUUUCAAAACUUCUCUCUCAAUUAUUAAUAGUGGACAGAAAAUUCAUAAGAAUAUGGAAGACUUGAACAUGCUAUCAACCAACUUGAUCUAAUUGACAUUUGUGUAGAAUUCCAACUAACAAAAGCAAAAUACGUAUUGUUUGCAGGUGCGUAUAGAAUUUACCAAAGUAGAUAAUAUUUUGACUAUCAAACAAUUCUCAAAGUUAAAAAGAUUUAAAUCAGGCAGAAUAUAUUCUCUGACCACAGGGAAUUAAACUUCCACAGUAUUUCAGAAGCUAAGAGCUAUACCAUUUACCUGUCUAUCUACUUUAAGGAACAGUGAUAAUUAAUGUUCAUAAAAAUGAAUUGAGGUGCUGAAAAAAUCCUUAUAAGGCAUAAGACAUGCCUUAUAUGUAUGUCUUCAGAAAAUUAAAUGUAAAAUAGGUAUAAUGUUAAUAUUUUAUGAAAUGUGCAAAUGUACUCAAAAUUGAGAGAGUAGUUCAAAGAAACCCAUCCAUAUACCCGCCACUCAAAUUUCACAAUUAUCAAGAAUAUAGGAUAUUUGCUUCACCAAUUCAGUUGUUUAUUUUCUCUAUGCGGAAAAAUUUUGAAGCAGACCUCCAAUACUAUACGAUUUUACUGCUGCAUAUUAUAGUUUGCCUCUGUAAAAACUGGAUAUUUUCUCGAGUGAUCCCAAUUCCAUGGUCACACUUACUGUAAGUCAUAGUAAUUUUUUGUGAUCAUAAGAUCUUGGAGCUGUUGCAGUAGGGGGGAAACCUCAGUGCAGAACUAAGCUCAGCUCUAAAUACAGCAAAGACAGCUGGGAAUUCAUAGCCAAAGAGCAAAGCAAAGGGGUCAGUGGAUGGAAAAGUACUAACAGGAACUUAAUUCCAUGUUUUAUUAGUUUGCUAGCGCCACCAAAAUAAAAUCCACAGGCUGGAUGGACAUUAAAUAACAGAAAUUUAUUCUCUCACAGUUUUGGAGGCUGGAAGUCCAAGAUCAAGGUGUCAUCAGGUUUGGUUUCUUCUGAGCCCUCUCUCCUUAACUGUCUUCUCCCUAUGUCCUCACAUGAUCUUCCCUUUGUGUGUGCACAUGUCUGUGUCUCCUAAUUUCCUCUUCUUAUAAAGACACCAAUCAUAUUGGAUUAGGUCUCAUUCAUAUCACAUUAUACUUUAAUAAAUUAUUUUAUUUUUUAGUUUUUUAUUUAUUGAUUUUUGAAACAAGGUCUUACUCUGCUGCCAAGGCUAGAGUGCAGUGGUGUGAUUACAGCUCACCAGGCUCCCUGGGGUCAGGUGAUUCUCCCACCUCAGGGACUACAGGCACAUGCCACCAUGCCUGGCUAAUUUUUGUAUUUUUUUGUAGAGAUGGGGUUUUGCCAUGUUACCCAGACUGGUCUCUGUCUUCUGGGCUCAAGCAAUCCACCGACCUCAGCCUCCCAAUGUGCUGAGGUUACAGUUGUGAGCCACUAUGCCCAGCCCUUAAUAAAUAAUUUAAAGAAUGUAUCUUUAGAUAUAGUCACAUUCUGAGGUACUACAGGUUAGGAAUUUAACAUGUAAAUUUUGGGGAGACACAAUUCAGCCAUAACAGACAUCAAGGGUAGGAAGGUUCUUGCUAAAGGCAGGGCAAUGACCUAGAUAUCAAAGGUUGGGGAUGAGGGAUUUGACCAGAUACCAGAGAUGGAGGGAUUCUCACUAAGCUGACCUAACUCGUUUCUUGCUAAAACUGGGCUCAUCAGCCCAAGGGUGUGGAGGGCUAAGGUUGAGGCCUAGUUGAGAAGGGGGCUCAAAGAAGACUAAAGUUUGGUCAAGGAGGGUGUCUUUGUCAAAGGAGACCUCCCCAUUUUCAACCAAAUCCCCUGUUUCAACUUUCAACUCUCUCCUUCACCCCACCUUCCAUAAUACCUGAUAUAUCCAAUCCUGAGCCAUUCUGGGAUUCUGAAGUAUAUCCCGAAGUAGAAACUGAGUGUCUGUGAAAGGCAAACACAUCUUGUCUUUGUUUUUUUGAAAUGACUUUUGUUCCUCCUUGCUGAAGAACAGUUUAGCUGGGUAUAAAAAUUCCAGGUUGGUAGUAAUUUUUCUUCAGCAUGUUGUUACAUCACUUUCAAGUCUUUUGGAAAGACUUGGAAUAUUGUUCUUAAUGAGUCCAUUGGCAGGUUUUUUCUCCUUUUUAGGAAAUCUGUCUUUCUCCUAGUAGCUUUUAAUAAUUUUGUUUUUUUAUUAUCAUGGAUGUUUGUUUUUAUUUAUUCUGUUUGGCAUUUGAUGUGCCCUGAGUACUCAUGUCUUCAAUUCUGAAAAAUUCUUAGCCAUAACCUCUUCUUACAGUGCCACACUGAUAUUUCCUGUAUUUUCUAAAAUUGAAAUUCCUAAUAAGCUAAUGUUAAAUCUUCUCUAUCUGGCUUCAUCUUUUAACUUUUCUUUCAUAUUUUCCUUCUGUUGACAUCUGUAUAUUAUUGUCUCCAUCAGUUUCUUGCUAAAAACUCCCAAUUUACCAGUUCCCUCUUCUUUAUGUAGUAUUUAUCCCACCCAUUGAGAUUUAAAAAUAAUUUCAUGACCAUAUUUUUCAUUUCUAACAUUUUAAAAUUGGUUCUUUCCUAUAUUCUUCUGUCCUUCAAGAUUUUUUUUUAUUAUUUUAAUUUUUUUUGAGACACAGCCUCACUCUGUUGCUUAGGUUGGAAGUUGGAGUACAGUGGUGCAAUCAUAGCUCACUGCAGCUUUGAACUCUCGUGCUCAAACAUUCCUGCUGCUUCAGUCUCCUAAUUAGCUGGGACUGCAGGCACAUGCCACCAUGUCCAGCUAAUUUUCAAAUUUUUUUUUUUUUUUUUUUUUUUUUGAGACGGAGUCUCGCUCUUUCACCCAGGCUGGACUUCAGUGGCGCUAUCUCGGCUCACUGCAAGCUCUGCCUCCUGGGUUCACACCAUUCUCCUGCCUCAGACUGCCGAGUAGCUGGGACUACAGGCGCCAACCACCGCGCCUGGCUAAUUUUUUGUAUUUUAAGUAGAGACAGGGUUUCACCAUGUUAGCCAGGAUGGUCUCGAUCUCCUGACCUCGUGAUCCGCCCACCUUGGCCUCCCAAAGUGCUGGGAUUACAGGCAUGAGCCACCGCACCUGGCCAAUUUUCAAAUUUUUUAAUAGAGACAGGAUCUUGCUAUGUUUCCCAGACUGAUCUUGAACUCCUGGGCUGAAGUGAUCCUCCUGCCUUGGCCUCCCAAAGUGCUGGGAUUACAGGUGUGAGCCACUGCACCUGGCCUCUAUUCUUCUAUUCUUUACUGAUAUCCUUUUUGGCUUGUUUGCAACUCUCUGAGGAUUUUAAACAUAUAUAAGGUUGUGACUCUUUUGGUUGGUUUAUUGUUUUAAUUUCUCCCAUUUGUUGUGUUUAUCGGCUGGGUUUCCUGAUGUUGGUUUUUCUCAUGUGUUCUGAAAGUUUAGUUUGUAAAUUCACCUUAAUUAGGUGUUUCCUUUUUUAUUUUGCUUUUGCCUCUUCCCCACUGCUUGCCCCUCUGUGUGUGAGUUUUAGCAACCACCAAUGGGUUCACAACUUAGAGCCAAGUCCUACCUCAGCAGACUGGGGUUUCCUCCCCGGGGGACCUGAAGCUCUGUGGCUGACCUGAUCAGGUGCUGGUUACAUGGCUAUCUCUGUCCCCUGAAGGUAACAGCUUCUUUUAGACCCCCAGUUACAGGCAGAGAAGGCUAACACAGCCCAGUCCUAGCCACUGCCAGCUCCCUGGCCCAUGCAGCAAGCUGGCCUCAGCCUGAAUCUAGAGGCAGAGCCAUCAGUGCCCAUUGACCAGGCCAGCGGAGAGAGUAUCUCCUGCUACUUCUGCCUUCUGAAGUCCUGAGUCUAUGGCUUCAACUUCAGAUUCCUGUUGAGAGUUUCUGUUCUUUUUCAGGCUCCAUUAACUUGCUUUUGAGCUCAGCUCUGCCUUGUUAAACAUAAAAAGAUUCACCAUCGAUAGGAGUUCGCGUGGGGUGGCUCCAGCAUGAACUUGGCCAGCAGUUCUGCCGUGUUGUCCCUCACGCCUCUGAGUGGGGCUCCUGGCUCAUAUUCUCACAGCAGGCCUCUCCCCUCAACCCCUAACAGUGCAGCUUUCACAUAGGGCCCCACCGCCUCUUGUCUAAAUGAGCAUCACCCUCUUCUGCCUGCCUGCAGCUGGGUGCCUGGCCAGCCUAUGCUUUGCAUUGUGAGGAGGUCAAGCCCUUGUUAAAGAGCAUGUGAAGGCUCUCAGUGGACCUCAGGAUAAAACCCUGACUCCUCCGCGAGGCUCAGUUUCUCCUUGUUCAGGCCCCUCCAGCUCCAGGGCUUUCCCAGUCCUGGGCUUUUCCUUCUGUGGCUUCCCAACUCCGUGUCUGGGAUUAGGUGGCCUGGGUAUUUCUACUGCAGGUUUCCCACGCUGAGCCACACUGUAGGAUCUCCUGUCCUCCGCUGGAAAUGCCCUGGGGUUGCAUCUCAUGCUCCUGUAAAUGUGGCCAGGAAGGAGACCCAGGGUUCUCCAGGGCUCCAGGGUUCUAGGGUCUCUGGGGCUUGGCACGUGUUUAUAUCAUUAGCGUUAGAAGGCUUGGUCUCUCAGACAGCCCCACCUUCACGGUUCUAGCUCCUCAGUCCCACCACAAAGUGAAUCACCCUUAGGCAGGGGUGGGACGGGAAUGGUCAUGAAUGAGGGACCCUCUGCACCUGUGACUCAACCAAGCAGGGAAACAGCUUCUGUCUGAAAGGGGGAAAAGAUCUGAAGAGCUAACGUAUUGACAGAAGAGCCAUCUCAGUGAGAAGCAGAGGCCGAAAAUGAAAGUCAAUAUCCACCCAGAGAAAAUCAAACGCCACACAACCUCCAGCGACUUCCCCGUCAAUGCAAACCCCUUUGCUGUUCAUAUUUCAGUAAAGGGCACUCACUUCUUGGGACCCUGAUUCAUGGAUCUAUUUGGGCACAGUGCCUGCCCCUUUGUUCAUAAGAUCCAUGUGCAAUUAGAAGGAAGAAAAUUCAUUAUUCAUUCAGCAUGGUCCUGGUAUCCCUGAAUCAUAAGAAAAACAAUUAUCACUACAAAAUAGCUAUAUGACACUACAGGGUAAUGUCGGUUGUACUCAAGACACCUUACAGUGGGGAAAAUCUUUCCUUGCUUAUAUGAAAUCGAAUCAGCGGUGAUGUGUGGAAGACGUUUGAUCAGGACCUGCCAGUGGGUGACGAGGGCGGCAUAAGGAGGACUGUGGUGGGCACCCCCUCACCCACCCCUUCUCAGUGUCUCCCCCCACAGAGCAAGUGCAGGGCUGCCCAGGGCUGGGGGCACUAUAAGAGUCUGAAGUGGCUUUUAUAAAUGAGUGAUUCGAUUGAAGAGCAAUUUUAAAAUUUACCUAUGUAUUUUGGUAGAAGAAUCUCUAUUUAGAGAGGGAGAUGACAGUGGCCUUCCCAGGCUUUGAGAGGUGAGUUGAAUUUUCUGUCUCGAUAAAGAGAAAGCUUUUCUCUUGGGUUCAUAUAUAUAAAUAGCCAGUUGUCUAAAACACGUAUAAAAACCCAAUCUUACAAAAUGUAAAAAAUAAAAAAAAGCCAAUUGUCUUUGGGUUUUCUAAAUUUUCCUGCAAGUUCUGUGUGUGGGGCGGUGGCCCCUAAUUUUAGUUAAAUUUGCUUUGCUUUUCUCAGACGGCCUCCCUUAUACUGGAACUUGCAGACUUUUCUGUCGGCCUCUGAUCUGACCUCCAAAGGAAGUGGCUGAAGGGGAUGGUGGAGGAGGCCAGGACUUCAGGGACCCACAGCCAUCACCUCCCUCCCCUGCCCCCUACACACCAACUCUCUGGAAAACAGCAGGCCAGUUAGUGGGACACGGCCAGUCCCUUCUUCCCUCACCUUUCAGCGGGAAGGUGCCACCUGCCCAGUGAGCCGUCGGGAUGACCCAGGGCAGGCACUGCAGCCUCUGGCCAAGCAGGUGCCCAGGCAGCACUGGUAAUCAUAUGUUUAUUGUUCUUUUCUGCAGUAGCAGUCACCCCCUUCUCUCUCUCUCUCUCUCUCUUUUUUUUUCUGGGGGACAGAGUCUCGCUCUGUUGCCAGGCUGGAGUGCAGUGGCGCAAUCUCGGCUCACUGAAACCUCCACCUCCCAGGUUUGAGCAAUUCUCCUGCCUCAGCCUCCUGAGUAGCUGGGACUACAGGUGUGCACCACCACACUCAGCUAAUUUUUUGUAUUUUUAGUAGAGACAGAGUUUCACCAUGAUGGCCAGGAUGGUCUUGAUCUCCUGACCUCGUGAUCCGCCUGCCUCAGCCUCCCAAAGUGCUGGGAUUACAGGCGUGAGCCACUGCUCCCAGCCACCCCCUUCUCUUAAACGGUUCCUCUCUGACCCAUGCUCCCACGCGGAUCCAUGAACAAGAAGGGCUGGGUCUGUGGCUGGGAUUUGGGGUCCUUCCAGAAGCUGCUUUUCCACUCUUUUGGCCAAAUGUUCCCCUUCCCCUGUUGCCAAAACUGAUUUUAUGGUCUAAUUAGAUGAGGGAGACACCUCUCUGGAGCCUAGGAUUGAAGCUUCAAAGCUAUUUUCAAGGCUGACGUUGGAAGAUCCUGGAAACACUGGCCCUGUUCUGGGCAUCAUUCAUUUCCCGGAGACAUGACCAGCAAAUCUGUUCAGAUGAGACAAGUCCAUGUGGCUUGAGGGCAGUGGGAGUGGAUGCUGGUGAGACUGUCCUGAUGGUGUCUGUCCAGGGAAAAGCAGGAGGACUCCUGUUGCUGAGUGCACCCAGCUCGAAGCUCGGGGUUCCCCCUGCCUGGGAGGAACAGGGGGUCCCAGCUCAGCAGUGGAAAGAAGCUCGGGGUUCCCUCUGCCUGGGAGGACCAGGGGGUCCCAGCUCAGCGGUGGAAAGAAGCUCAGGGUUCCCUAAGCCUGGGAGGACCAGGGGGUCCCAGUUCAGCUGUGGAAAGGAAAACUGGCCCCGCCGGAUGGAGGAUGUGUGUGGGGGGCUGCCUGGGGUCAGAGAA